UGUUUUAAUUGUUCAAAUGCAGAGCCAGGUAGUGCUUCCUAUCACUGUGUGGUCAGAUUGUUAACAGUGGUGCUGUCAUCAGCACAUCAUUAUUGUGUCUGAGCCGUGUGUGUGCAAGCCUCUUAGUGACUCAGACUGAUCUCAUCAGUGUAGGCCAGGGGGGAUACUGCUAAAGACAAAGACUGCAUCCAGUAGAGGAAGAGACAAAGAAAGCUAGCUUUUGAGUCAACAUUAAUGUCUACAGUCUCUCAGCCGGGGAAAGCCCAGAGUGUCUCCAUGGCCAAAGCCAAGCAAAUAGAAUUUUUACGAAGGGACAAGAUGGCUCUGGGCAUGAGUCAUGGCUGUACGCUGGGAAGAUUCCGAUGGGAACCUUGCUCUUGCUGGUUGAUCCAUACCUUACAUGGACUUGAGGCCGUGCAUGGCUUUUAUUAACAUGUGCAUUUUGCUUGUUAAGGCUCAAGCUUCAUCUUUUCCUUCCCAACUGGAGCACUGUUUGUAUUUCACAUGCACCUGAUUCAAAAUCUAUCCUUGGAACUCAGAGUGGCUUGGGAAUAGUCAUUUGGAAAAGCUCUGAUUAUUUGUCAGCUAAAACAGGAUGAUGUGUUCUCAGUUGAGGUUGGGAAAUAGGCUCUCUGCAGGGGAGCAGAUUCAAAUGCAAGCCAAGUUCUAAUUCUUUUCACAUCUCUAUCUCCAUGGGGCAGCUUUGGUGCAAAUCAAAAUUGUCCCCAGGUCAAGAAACCUAUAAACCACAACACAGCCCUGUACUUUUCUCAACUGCAGAAGGAGUUGUUUUACAUGUAGCCUUCAGAUGUCAUUUUCCCAGUGAAAAAUCUGUGUGCCAAAGCAGAUGUUCCUGGAAGCAAUACCAGAAUCUUUCAGGAGCCAAGGUGAACGAACUGUAAGAUUGAUUAUUGAAGUUUUCUAGGUUAAAACCAUUUCUGUCAUUGUCCUUGGCACUGAUUCUCAAAAUGUGUUCUAUAGCCUUGCUUCUCAGACUUGACAUGU